rnacentral:lncRNA from 1 species
UGGGAAACUUCCUGUACCAUCCCUGGGAAUUUGGACAACAAGUAGGACAGGAACUCCUGCAUUAACAUAGCUUGUAUUAAACAGGCACUGGUGUGAUUGGAUCUGAGAGUGGGAGAGGAAACACUACUGGGAAUGGCCAGGAUUGCUCCCUGUUGCAGGCAACGCUGCUGAGAAAGCACAAACCAGCCACAGUGGUGAAGUCAUGCAAAUGCAAUGCUCCCAAAGGCCACAGGAAUUGUGGAAAGAUUUGUGUACAAAAGUGGAAGAGAUGGCAAGCAUAAAUAGGGUUAAACAAGGUACAAGGGAAAGGAAGGCUGAUCUGUGAGCACCAAGUGAACCUUCUUGCUGUCGGCAUGCCUGGAAAAAUACAUGCCGCACACCCAUCCCUGAGUCAUUUCAAACUGCAUAGUGCCUCUGUUGCCCACCAGCUGGACUAUGCCUCUGUAUUUCACAUCCCUUUUAUGAGUUUGCCAGAGGCAGCAGAAGCCAUAGAGGACCUUUCUCCAAGGCAGAGAAUGCAGAUGAUCCCACUCUGA